rnacentral:rRNA from 1 species
AUUCCAGCUCCAAUAGCGUAUAUUAAAGUUGUUGCAGUUAAAAAGCUCGUAGUUGGAUUUGUGGUGUGUCCAGUCGACCUUUGCUCUUUGAGUGAUUGUGAUGUACUGGUCUGCCAUGUUUGGGUGGAAUCUGUGUGGCAUUAAGUUGUCGUGCAGGGGAUGCCCAUCGUUUACUGUGAAAAAAUUAGAGUGUUCAAAGCAGGCUUAUGCCGUUGAAUAUAUUAGCAUGGAAUAAUAAGAUAGGACCUUGGUACUAUUUUGUUGGUUUGCGCACCAAGGUAAUGAUUAAUAGGGACAGUUGGGGGUAUUCGUAUUCCAUUGUCAGAGGUGAAAUUCUUGGAUUUUUGGAAGACGAACUACUGCGAAAGCAUUUACCAAGGAUGUUUUCAUCA